GGCCUAUAGCUCAGUGGUAGAGCAUUCGUUUUGCAUUCAGAAGAUCCCAGGUUCAAUCCUGGGCAGCUCCA